AACGUAGGACACAAGCGUUAUCCGGAGUUACUGGGCGUAAAGGGCGUGUAGGCGGAGAUGUAAGUCUAUUCUGAAAGCUCCUGGCUAAACUGGGAGAGGCGAAUGGAGACUGCAUAUCUAGAGUGAGGAAGAGGAAAGUGGAAUUCCGCGUGUAGUGGUGAGAUGCGUAGAGAUGCGGAGGAACACCAGUGGCGAAAGCGACUUUCUGGUCCUUAACUGACGCUGAG
rnacentral:rRNA from 1 species